GAUGAAGAACGUAGCAAAAUGUGAUACGUAAUGUGAAUUGCAGAAUUCAGUGAAUCAUCGAAUCUUUGAACGCAUAUUGCGCUCUCUGGUAUUCCGGAGAGCAUGCUUGUUUGAGUAUCAGUAAACACCUCAACUCCCUUUUCUUUUUUGAAAUUGGAGCUGGACUUGAGUGAUCCCAACGCUUUCUUCCAAGAAAGUGGCGGGUUGCUUGAAAUGCAGGUGCAGCUGAACUUUUCUCUGAGCUAUAAGCAUAUCUAUUUAGUCUGCCUAAAAAACAGAUUAUUACCUUUGCUGCAGCUAACAUAAAGGAGACUAGUUCUUGUGCUGACUGAUGCAGGAUUCACAGAGACAGCUUCGGCUGACUUUGUAAACUCGAUCUCAAAUCAAGUAAGACUACCCGCUGAACUUAAGCAUAUCAAUAAGCGGAGGA
rnacentral:misc_RNA from 1 species